GGACUGUUAGGAAGGCAUGAUUGGUUUUGAAAUGUAAGGACAUUAUAUUUGAGAGGGGCCAGUGGCAGAAAGAUAUGAUUUGACUGUGUCCCAACCCAAAUCUCAUCUUGAAUUAUAGCUCCCACAAUUCCCACGUGUUGUUGGAGGGAUGCAGUGGGAGGUAAUUGUAUCAUGGGGGUGAGUCUUUUCUGUGCUAUUCUCGUGAUAGUGAAUAAGUAUCAUGAGAUCUGAUGGUUCAGAUCUGAUCAUGAGAUCUAAAGGGAAGUUUCUCUGCACAAGCUCUCUUCUCUUUCUGACACCAUGUGAGAUGUGCCUUUCACCUUCUGCCAUGAUUAUGAGGCCUCUCUAGCCAUGUGGAACUGUGAGUCCCCUAAACCUCUUUCUUUUGUAAAUUGCCCAGUUUGGGUAUGCCUUUAUCAGCAGCAUAAAAACAGACUAAUACAUGCUAUUCAGAUCAGACAGAUAUCUCUUUUUAUCUCUAGGAAUGUUUAUAUUCCAAGUGUAAAAAAUUAUGACUUCCUCUUGUGCAGGCAGGAAUCUGGGGAGUGCUCCUUCUACGAAACUGCAAUCACCCUGCAUUAUUCUGGGAAGGCUAUCUUUAGGUACAUCCACACUACGUUCCCAUUGGAGAAGCCCCAGUUGUGUCUCCAGUGGUGUAUCAGGGGGCAAGAAGGACUCCUUCUUUAAUACGCUUCAUGAUUGUGGAGGACACCUGCUCAUUGGG
rnacentral:lncRNA from 10 species